AACAGACCUUGUCCAUCAAGCAACGCGAUGGCGACCUCGAACGGAAGCACGAGGUGCGAUUUGACCUGGUGGAGAUCUCCCUCCGAGGACCACGACGGUCUGUCUUGACUGAGAUCUCCCUUCGAGGACUGCGACCCCGUCUUCCUGCUCGCUGAUCUGUUUAUGUUCCGCAAGGGGUUAAUAGAUCGUGGUCUUUUUUUGCCAUUUUAGUUGCAGCUGACCAUCUCUCUCUGCG
rnacentral:lncRNA from 1 species